rnacentral:rRNA from 1 species
GAAGCAACUGGAAGUGGUUCCAAGAAAAGCCUCUAAGCUUCAGUUCAACAGUGACCGUACCGCAAACCGACACAGGUGGGCGAGAUGAGUAUUCUAAGGCGCUUGAGAGAACUCGGGAGAAGGAACUCGGCAAAUUGGUACCGUAACUUCGGGAUAAGGUACGCCCCUGUAGCUUGACUGGCCUGCGCCAGGAGGGUGAAGGGGUUGCAAUAAACUGGUGGCUGCGACUGUUUAAUAAAAACACAGCACUCUGCAAACACGAAAGUGGACGUAUAGGGUGUGACGCCUGCCCGGUGCCGGAAGAUUAAAUGAUGGGGUGCAAGCUCUUGAUUGAAGUCCCGGUAAACGGCGGCCGUAACUAUAACGGUCCUAAGGUAGCGAAAUUCCUUGUCGGGUAAGUUCCGACCUGCACGAAUGGCGUAACGAUGGCCACACUGUCUCCUCCCGAGACUCAGCGAAGUUGAAGUGUUUGUGAUGAUGCAAUCUCCCCGCGGCUAGACGGAAAGACCCCAUGAACCUUUACUGCAGCUUUGCAUUGGACUUUGAACCGGUUUGUGUAGGAUAGGUGGGAGGCUAUGAAGCGUGAACGCCAGUUUGCGUGGAGCCGUCCUUGAAAUACCACCCUGAUCUGUUUGAGGUUCUAACCUUGGUCCGUUAUCCGGAUCGGGGACAGUGCAUGGCAGGCAGUUUGACUGGGGCGGUCUCCUCCCAAAGGGUAACGGAGGAGUACGAAGGUACGCUAGGUACGGUCGGAAAUCGUGCUGAUAGUGCAAUGGCAUAAGCGUGCUUGACUGCGAGACUGACAAGUCGAGCAGGUGCGAAAGCAGGUCAUAGUGAUCCGGUGGUUCUGUAUGGAAGGGCCAUCGCUCAACGGAUAAAAGGUACUCUGGGGAUAACAGGCUGAUACCGCCCAAGAGUUCAUAUCGACGGCGGUGUUUGGCACCUCGAUGUCGGCUCAUCUCAUCCUGGGGCUGUAGCCGGUCCCAAGGGUAUGGCUGUUCGCCAUUUAAAGAGGUACGUGAGCUGGGUUUAAAACGUCGUGAGACAGUUUGGUCCCUAUCUGCCGUGGGCGCUGGAAGUUUGAGGGGGCCUGCUCCUAGUACGAGAGGACCGGAGUGGACGAACCUCUGGUGUACCGGUUGUCACGCCAGUGGCAUCGCCGGGUAGCUAUGUUCGGAAGAGAUAACCGCUGAAAGCAUCUAAGCGGGAAACUCGCCUCAAGAUGAGACUUCCCCGGGGCUUCGAGCCCCUUGAAGGGUCGUUCGAGACCAGGACGUUGAUAGGUCAGGUGUGGAAGCGCAGUAAUGCGUUAAGCUAACUGAUACUAAUUGCCCGUAAGGCUUGAUCCUAUAACAG